rnacentral:rRNA from 1 species
AAAUCUGAGGUUGUAAAGGCAUGUAAGUGGGGUUAGGUCCUUUAGAUAAGGAUAAUUUGAGUGAGUUACUUUAGGGAUACAGCGUAAUAGUCCUAGGGAGAUCGUAUCUAUGGGAUUGAUUGCGACCUCGAUGUUGAAUUAAAAGAUCAGUGUAGAGCAGGAGCUACAGGGUGAGGGUUUGUUCAACCUUUAAAUUUUUACAUGAUCU